rnacentral:tRNA from 1 species
CGCGGGAGAGUGAAACGGAUAACUUAAAUCACGCAAGGCUCAUAACCUUGAAAUAGUGGGUUCGACUCUCACACCCGCAA